AUCCUUUGGUUCAUAAGCGUGACGAUUGGGUAUUCAUGUCUUACAAUGCAUGAGACGUGCCUCCCUCAAACCUUCUUACGACGUGGGCACAUUGCCCAUCUGACG